ACUGCACAUACCACAUGCACACACAGACAGGCCCUCGGCUGAAUCCCUUUGCCUCUGGAGACCCGAUCACGUCAUGCACAGCCAUCACAUCGAGCUGUGACCUUCCCUCCUUCCUCAUGUAAAACUCGCGGUGGCGGGUGCCUGUAAUCCCAGCUACUCGGGAAGCUGAGGCAGGAGAAUCGCUUGAAUCUGGGGAGACGGA
rnacentral:lncRNA from 1 species